rnacentral:rRNA from 1 species
UAAAACGUAGGAGGCGAGCGUUAUCCGGAGUUACUGGGCGUAAAGGGCGCGCAGGUGGUAGGGUAAGUGUGGCGUGAAAGCUCCUGGCUAAACUAGGAGAGGUCGAAACAGACUGCCCAACUAGAGAGUGAUAGAAGUACGCGGAAUUCGGGGUGUAGCGGUGAAAUGUGUAGAGAUCCCGAGGAACACCAGUGGUGAAAACGGCGUACUGGGUCAUAUCUGACACUGAGGCGCGAAAGCUUGGGGAGCGAACGGGAUUAGAGACCCCGGUAGUCCAAGCCGUAAACGAUGCUUGCUGGAUGUCCACCUGUCGAAAGGCAGGGGGGUGUCGAAGCUAACGCGAUAAGCAAGCCGCCUGGGGAGUACGGUCGCAAGGCUA